UACGUAGGGUGCAAGCGUUAAUCGGAAUUACUGGGCGUAAAGCGUGCGCAGGCGGCUUUGUAAGACAGAUGUGAAAUCCCCGGGCUCAACCUGGGAACUGCAUUUGUGACUGCAUGGCUUGAGUGCGGCAGAGGGGGAUGGAAUUCCGCGUGUAGCAGUGAAAUGCGUAGAUAUGCGGAGGAACACCGAUGGCGAAGGCAAUCCCCUGGGCCUGCACUGACGCUCAUGCACGAAAGCGUAGGGGAGCGAA
rnacentral:rRNA from 1 species